rfam:Aedes aegypti strain Liverpool supercont1.239 genomic scaffold, whole genome shotgun sequence.
CGUUCUGUGGCGUAGUUGGUUAACGCACUCAGACUAGCGAAUUGGGAGUCGUGGGAUCGAAACCCACCAGAACGA